ensembl:lncRNA
CAUCAAAGGCCUUUGCAACGUCACAACAAAGGUGCUUCGAAGGAGCUCCCAAAUAGCAUAAAUAGAGCCUUGGCGACACUCUACACCAGUGCACUCCAAAGUUGGUCCGUCUAAAGUAUCGCUGAGUCUAAAAUACUGCUGAAAGUCAACCGUUAUUAAAUAUGUCUCACGUUUAUGGUAGAGCUAACGAUCACGUUUCCCGUGCAAAGGUUUGCACAACUGAAGAAUUGCGGGCUGAAAAAGAAGCCACAAAAAAGGAGAAAAAAUGCGUCAGGUUUGCAACGCUCCCAUCACUCCACAACGGCUGGGAGCACACAAUCCGACCAACGACAGAGAGAGUGCGGGACGUACAAAGGGUAAGUCGGGAGUGGGGUGAGGCUGGCAGUAGUGAUCGGGUUGGUUUCUUCCGUUGUCAGCAACGGAGCAGCUCAGAACAAACAGCACCUAAAACGGAAUGCCUGUUUGUUAAUAAAUCAAAUAGGGUUGUGUCUGUAGCUAAAGACUCACCAGCUAAGAAUUUAAUCCCACCCCUGCCUCCUCUUCCUAUUAAACCGCAGAAAACACAGCGUGCCCCUAUUAUUAAAAAGCAACACGAGGUUGUUGCACCUUAUGCACCACGCAUAUUAGAGACGUGGGACAUAAACACAAAUAAAAAUGUACUUCCACCCCUACCUCCUCUUCCUAUUAAACCGCAGAAAACACAGCGUGCCCCUAUUAUUAAAAAGCAACACGAGGUUGUUGCACCUUAUGCACCACGCAUGUUAGAGACGUGGAAAUAUUAACAGCAGUAAAAUAUAAAUAACACCCCCCCCCCCCCCCCCCCCCCCAACCGGUUGCAGCAGAUAGCCGCCCCUCCCUGAGCCUGGAUCUGCUGGAGGUUUCUUCCUGUUAAAAGGGAGUUUUUCCUUCCCACUGUCGCCAUGUGCUUGCUCAUAGGGGGUCAUUUGAUUGUUGGGUUUUUUUUUUUCACAACAACAGUUGUGAAAAUAUUCACAACUGUUGUUGUGAAUAUUUUCACAACUGUUGUUGUGAAAAUAUAACUGUUGUUGUGAAAAUAUUCACAACAACAGUUAUAUUGCAAAGUCUUCACCAUCCAUCAGCCAUUACAAUGCAAAUAAUAAAAAUCUUGAAAUACA